rnacentral:rRNA from 1 species
GAUGAACGCUAGCGGCAGGCUUAACACAUGCAAGUCGAGGGGUAUUGGUUUUCGGACCAAGAGACCGGCGCACGGGUGCGUAACGCGUAUGCAAUCUACCUUUUGCAGAGGGAUAGCCCCAGAGAAAUUUGGAUUAAUACCUCAUAGUAUAGUACUUUGGCAUCAAGGAACUAUUAAAGUCACAACGGCAAAAGAUGAGCAUGCGUCCCAUUAGCUAGUUGGUAAGGUAACGGCUUACCAAGGCUACGAUGGGUAGGGGUCCUGAGAGGGAGAUCCCCCACACUGGUACUGAGACACGGACCAGACUCCUAACGGGAGGCAGCAGUGAGGAAUAUUGGACAAUGGGCGCAAGCCUGAUCCAGCCAUGCCGCGUGCAGGAUGACGGUCCUAUGGAUUGUAAACUGC